rnacentral:ncRNA from 1 species
ACACAUGGACACACACGGACAGCCACGGAUGUCCUGUGUGUGCUGAAGGACAGCCACAGACAGCCACGGACAUUCUGUGUGUGCUGGCGUACACCCACGAACGUCCUGUGUGUACUGAACAGACAGCCCAUGUGGUCCAAAAUCACCCAAACAGUCCACGGGAAGGGCCAGCGUGCUGAGUCCAAUGACCAACGUGCUUAUAUGUGUAGUGAUGGACAGCCACGGAUGUCCUAGUCUCAACCAUAAACGAUGCCGACCAGGGAUCAACAGAUGUUGCCGGGGGGAGUAUAGUAGCAUGGCUGAAACUUAAAGGAAUCUAAACACUUACUCUGCUGGCACCUUAUGAGAAAUCAAAGUUUUUGGGUUCCGGGGGGAGUAUAGUAGCAUGGCUGAAACUUAAAGGAAUUGACGUAAGGGAACCACCAGGAGUGGAGCCUGCGGCUUAAUUUGACUCAACACGGGGAAACUUACCAGGUCCAGACAAAGUAAGGAUUGAUAGACUGAGAGCUCUUUCUUGAUUCUAUGGGUGGUGGUGCAUGGCCGUUCUUAGUUGGUGGAGUGAUUUGUCUUCUUAAUUCCAUUAACGAACGAUACCUCAGCCUGCUAACUAGCUACGUGGAGGCAUCCCUUGAUGGCCGGCUUCUUAGAGGGACUAUGGCCGUUUAGGCCAAGGAAGUUUGAGGCAAUGACAGGUAUGUGAUGCCCUUAGAUGUUAUGGGCCGCACGCGCGCAACACUGAUGUAUUCAACGAGUUCACACCUUGGCCGACAGGCCCGGGUAAUCUUUUAAAUUUCAUCGUGAUGGGGAUAGAUCAUUGCAAUUGUUGGUCUUCAACAAGGAAUUCCUAGUAAGCGCGAGUCAUCAGCUCGUGUUGACUUCGUCAUUUCCCUUUUGUACACACCGCCCGUCGCUCCUACCGAUUGAAUGAUCCGGUGAAGUGUUUAGAUCGCGGCGACGUGGGUGGUUCACCGUCUGCGACGUCGCGAGAAGUCCACUAAACCUUAUCAUUUAGAGGAAGGAGAAGUCGUAACAAAGUUUCCGUAGGUGAACCUGCAAAAGGAUUAUUG